rnacentral:rRNA from 1 species
UGGGGAAUAUUGCACAAUGGGCGCAAGCCUGAUGCAGCGACGCCGCGUGGGGGAUGACGGCCUUCGGGUUGUAAACUCCUUUCGCUAGGGACGAAGCUUUUUGUGACGGUACUUAGAUAAGAAGCACCGGCUAACUACGUGCCAGCAGCCGCGGUAAUACGUAGGGUGCGAGCGUUGUCCGGAAUUACUGGGCGUAAAGGGCUCGUAGGUGGUUUGUCGCGUCGUCUGUGAAAUUCCGGGGCUUAACUCCGGGCGUGCAGGCGAUACGGGCAUAACUUGAGUACUGUAGGGGUAACUGGAAUUCCUGGUGUAGCGGUGAAAUGCGCAGAUAUCAGGAGGAACACCGAUGGCGAAGGCAGGUUACUGGGCAGUUACUGACGCUGAGGAGCGAAAGCAUGGGUAGCGAACAGG